GACGAACGCUGGCGGCGUGGAUUAGGCAUGCAAGUCGAACGGUAGGAUACCUUCGGGUAUCUGAGAGUGGCGAACGGGUGAGUAACACGUAGGUGAUCUACCCUCAAGAUUGGGACAACCCAGGGAAACUUGGGCUAAUACCGGAUGAAAGCAGCAGUGAUGUUGUUUGAAAGGUGGCGUAAGCUGCCGUUUGGGGAUGAGCCUGCGCUCUAUUAGUUAGUUGGCGGGGUAAAGGCCCACCAAGGCGAUGAUAGAUAGGCGGCCUUAACGGGUGGUCGCCCACACUGGGAUUGAGAUACGGCCCAGACUCCUACGGGAGGCAGCAGUCGAGAAUAGUCUACAAUGGUCGGAAGACUGAUAGUGCGACGCCGCGUGAACGAUGAAUCCCUUCGGGUGUAAAGUUCUUUUAUAUGUGAGCAGUGCUUCUUAUAUUAACAGUAUGGGGAAGAUAUUAGCAUAUGAAUAAGCAACGGCUAACUCCGUGCCAGCAGCCGAC
rnacentral:rRNA from 1 species